rnacentral:rRNA from 1 species
GCUGGCUGCGUGCUUAACACAUGCAAGUCGAACGCUGAAGCCGACAGCUUGCUGUUGGUGGAUGAGUGGCGAACGGGUGAGUAACACGUGAGUAACCUGCCCCUGAUUUCGGGAUAAGCCUGGGAAACUGGGUCUAAUACCGGAUACGACCACCUGACGCAUGUUGGGUGGUGGAAAGUUUUUCGAUCGGGGAUGGGCUCGCGGCCUAUCAGCUUGUUGGUGGGGUAAUGGCCUACCAAGGCGACGACGGGUAGCCGGCCUGAGAGGGCGACCGGCCACACUGGGACUGAGACACGGCCCAGACUCCUACGGGAGGCAGCAGUGGGGAAUAUUGCACAAUGGGGGAAACCCUGAUGCAGCGACGCAGCGUGCGGGAUGACGGCCUUCGGGUUGUAAACCGCUUUCAGCAGGGAAGAAGCGAAAGUGACGGUACCUGCAGAAGAAGUACCGGCUAACUACGUGCCAGCAGCCGCGGUAAUACGUAGGGUACGAGCGUUGUCCGGAAUUAUUGGGCGUAAAGAGCUCGUAGGUGGUUGGUCACGUCUGCUGUGGAAACGCAACGCUUAACGUUGCGCGUGCAGUGGGUACGGGCUGACUAGAGUGCAGUAGGGGAGUCUGGAAUUCCUGGUGUAGCGGUGAAAUGCGCAGAUAUCAGGAGGAACACCGGUGGCGAAAGCGGGACUCUGGGGCUGUAACUGACAC